rnacentral:rRNA from 1 species
GAUGAACGCUAGCGGGAGGCUUAACACAUGCAAGUCGAGCGGCAAUCCCGAGCAAUCGGGACUAGAGCGGCGCACGGGUGAGUAACGCGUAUGCAACCUGCCUUUUACAGGGGGAUAGCCCGGAGAAAUCCGGAUUAAUACCCCAUGGAACUAUAAAGCCGCAUGGUUUAAUAGUUAAAGAUUUAUCGGUAAGAGAUGGGCAUGCGUGACAUUAGCUAGUUGGCGGGGUAACGGCCCACCAAGGCUACGAUGUCUAGGGGUUCUGAGAGGAUGAUCCCCCACACUGGUACUGAGACACGGACCAGACUCCUACGGGAGGCAGCAGUGAGGAAUAUUGGUCAAUGGGCGCAAGCCUGAACCAGCCAUCCCGCGUGAAGGAUGAAUGUACUAUGUAUUGUAAACUUCUUUUCUGCAAAGAGAAAGGGCACUAACGUGUAGUGUUUUGACGGUAUUGCAGGAAUAAGCAUCGGCUAACUCCGUGCCAGCAGCCGCGGUAAA